rnacentral:lncRNA from 1 species
UAUAAAGUGAUGGAAGGUAUCAAAGGACACAGAAGCACCUUAAAAAAUACCUGGGGACAAAACUGGAGCAAAUAAGCAAGGUGACACAAGGUGUGGGUCAAUAAUAUCCAGGUCAAUAUGCACUCCAAGACAAAUAUCCAGGAGUCAUAUGACAUAAGCAGGCAGGUGGGGCACGUAGAGGGUCCACUCUCCAGAAAGCAAUCUGAGGGCGGACCAGCAGACAGUCCAUACUCAAGGAGGAGGCUUUAUCUCUGCUUCUUGCUCCUCCAGGUUGGGCCCUGAAUGGCACCUACUCUAAUGUUCACAAUAUGAAAGGGGAAAGGGUGAAGGAGGUCCUGCAGAAGGCACUGACUAGAUUGAGCUCCUAUCCCAGGCCUGAUGGACCACAUGGUUAAAAUGUCAGUCAGAGGAGGUGCUAACAGAGGAGGAACCUGUCCCAACCCCCUGCUCUAGUUUCCACACACCCUGCCCAAUCACACUGCUGGCUGG